rnacentral:lncRNA from 13 species
GGUAUCAAUUCUAUUGCGAUUCAUCUGUCAGUGUAGACAUAUUUGAUUGGAUCCGUGGCAUACACACUACUCUGGCAGUGGAGGAACACAUAGGUGGCUAGAUAGAACCAAUACACGAAAUGAAAGGGUUCUCCUAUAUAGAUAUGUUGUCAGGUACUGUUGAGGAGAGGAGCUCAGUGAUGAUGGAGACUGCAGCCCUGGUAGUGCCUGUCACUGCUCUGGAGUUCCUAAGGGAGGAGUACCUGCUGACAGAAAGACCUGUAAUUCAACUGUCUGUGCAGAGUGAGAGAAGACUCAUGGAAGGAAUCUAUUGAUGCCUGAAGGGAGUCGGGGCUGAUUGGUGAAGUAAUUUACUGUAAGCACAGUUGGACAGAAGGCAUUGUCUGCUGAGAGGUUAAAGUGACAAAGGAGGUGUGUGUGUGUGUAGUGGUGUGUGUGUGUGUGUGUGUAGUGGUGUGUGUGUGUAGUGGUGUGUGUGUGUGUGUAGUGGUGCGUGAGGGAUACCUCGGCACCCCCGAGGGAGGAGGAAAGACCCCCAAGUUGAGGACUAGCCCUCCACACCCACCAGAGAGGUACUUUAGUUAAGAUGGGUAACAUUGUUGUCAUGUGUUAUUAUGGACUAAAGUAAUGAACUGUGAUCUCUCUGCUCUGUCGUCACAGGUUAUAGGCACUAUGGUGUUACGGGAUCGGUUGCCUAUGAUUGGCUCCUCUGGAAGGAAACCAGCAGGUACUGUGAACCAACUAAGGUUUCCCACCACUUAAUUUAAUAGCGCUACUAUUUGAACCUGCUUCACUGUCUGUGUGUUGACUUCUGGUCCAUGACUGUUUAAAAGGCCAGCUCCUUCUCCUCUGGCUCUGCAUCCUCUCCUACUCCUUCUCAUAUCCUGUUUCAUCCCCUCUCAUCUCUGUUGGCUCUCAAGUGUUUGUUUUCCUCUGGCUUUGUUCUCUGUCAACAGACACUUGAUCCUGUCAACAGAGACACACAGGGCUUGAAAUAAUAAACAAUGCACUGUAAAGCUCACAACAACAGUUCUUGUGGUGAGAUGUUACCCCACUCUUCCACCAAGGCACCUGCAAGUUCCCGGACAUUUCUGGGGGGAAUGGACCUAGCCCUCACCCUCUAAUCCAACAGGUUCCAGGCGUGCUCAAUGGGAUUGAGAUCCGGGCUCUUCGCUGGCCAUGGCAGAACACUGACAUUCCUGUCUUGCAGGAAAUCAUACACAGAAUGAGCAGUAUUGCUGGUGGCAUUAUCAUGCUGGAGGGUCAUGCCAGGAUGAGCCUGCAGGAAGGGUACCACAUGAGGGAGGAGGACGUCUUCCCUGUAACGCACAGCGUUAAGAUUGCCUGCAAUGACAACAAGCUCAGCCUGAUGAUGCUGUGACAUCCCGCCCCAGACCAUGACGGACCCUCCACCUCCAAAUCGAUCCCGCUCCAGAGUACAGGCCUCGGUGGAACGCUCGUUCCUUCGACGAUAAACGCGAAUCCGACCAUCACCCCUGGUGAGACAAAACUGCAACUCGUCAGUGAAGAGCACUUUUUGCCAGUCCUGUCUGGUCCAGCGAUGGUGGGUUUGUGCCCAUAGGUAACGCUGUUGCCAGGGAUCUUGUACCUGU